CAAGUCGAACGGGUUUCAUGGGUUUCGGCCCAGGAGACAGUGGCGGACGGGUGAGUAACACGUGGAUAACCUGCCCUCAUGUGGGGGAUAGCCUUCAGAAAUGAGGGAUAAUACCGCAUAGGGUGUAGGCGAGGGGCGACCCUGGCCUGCGGCAAAGCUCUGGUGGCUGAAAGGCGGCCAGUGGCGCAUGAGGAGGGGUCCGCGGCCGAUUAGCUAGUUGGGGGGGUAAGCGCCUCCCAAGGCGACGAUCGGUAGCUGGUCUGAGAGGAUGGUCAGCCACACUGGGAUUGAGAACGGCCCAGACUCCUACGGGGGGCAGCAGUGAGGGAUCUUCGGCAAUGGGGGCAACCCUGACCGAGCAACGCCGCGUGCGGGAGGACGCCUUUCGGGGUGUAAACCGCUUUUCUGGGGGACGAGGCAAAUGAGUACGGACGGUACCCCAGGAAGAAGUCUCGGCUAACUACGUGCCAGCAGCCGCGGUAAUACGUAGGAGACGAGCGUUGUCCGGAGUUACUGGGCGUAAAGGGUGCGCAGGUGGCCGCGCGCGUGGGGAGUGAAAUCGCCUGGCUUAACUGGGCGGGGGCUUUCCAGACGGCGUGGCUUGAGCCACAGAGGGGGGCGUGGAAUUCCGGGUGGAGCGGUGAAAUGCGUAGAGAUCCGGAGGAACACCGACGGCGCAGGCAGCGCCCUGGCUGUGCAAAGCGAGCAGCAGCAAUGCGUUCGCGCUGACACUGAGGCACGAAAGCUGGGGGAGCAAACAGGAUUAGAUACCCUGGUAGUCCCAGCCGUAAACGAUGUCCACCAGGUGCUGGGCGGAUCGACCCGUU
rnacentral:rRNA from 1 species